rnacentral:rRNA from 1 species
GGUGGAGCGAUCUGUCUGGUUAAUUCCGAUAACGAACGAGACUCUCCCCUGCUAACUAGUCGGUUGGAUCUUGCUCGGUGAGUCGUGUCCCAGUGGUGCUCGGUGCAUGGGUUUGGGUGUGUGUGCGCGCGUUGGUGGUUUGCUUCGGCGGAUCGCUGCGUGCGCGUGCGUGCCUUGCCUUGCGCAAGAGGCUCUGGAUAGCACACUCCAAGUCCACCGUUUAUGCUAUAACUCUUCUUAGAGGGAUCCACGGCUCUGAAGCCGUCAGAGACUGAGAGCAAUAACAGGUCUGUGAUGCCCUUAGAUGCUCUGGGCCGCACGCGCGCUACAAUGCCGGGCACAGCAGGUUAUCUUCCUGCUCCGAGAGGAGCGGGCAACCCUCUGAAAGCCCUUGAUUUACUCUCUCCGUACCUCGUGUGCGGGAGCGCGGCGUGCUUGGGCCUGGGGCUUGCAAUUAUUCCCCACAAACGAGGAAUGCCUAGUAGCGGUGGGUCACUGAGCCCGCCGUGAUUCAGUCCCUGCCCUUUGUACACACCGCCCGUCGCUACUACCGAUUGGGUGUACCAGUGAGAGCCUUGGACUGGCGGCCGUUGCCACCCCUCGUGGGCGGCAAGCGGAUUCGACGGAAAGAGGUCCGAACUGGUGCACUUAGAGGAAGUAAAAGUCGUAACAAGGUUUCCGUAGGUGAACCUGCGGAAGGAUCAUUA